UGGGUAAAAUAAUUAUUUUUCCUCCGCAUAUUUAUUUCCUUAAAUAUCUUAAAAGAAAAAAUUGCUGAAGUCGACUCUAAAGGGUUUUCUUCCUCAACUCUUCAGCAAACUCCAUCGUGAAAGGGUAUCUCCGACUCGCUGUUGCUGCUAUUCGUCGAUGGCUUCCUAAAUGGUGGUGGUGGAAUUUUCUCCAAUCUUGAAUUCGUGAAAAUUUCACCAGAAUGGCACUAGUGCUAGCUGUAAAAAUCUUUAGGAGGAAGGAGAUGCUUUCCUAGUAGCCAGCGUCGAGAACUACUUAUGCACGGUGAGUCUGUGACCAAAGAAACCAACCUGAUAGUGGUAAAAGGGGCCAGCUUGCACCUGAGAGAGUUAAAGCUAAGGAUGUGAUAAACACGCAAAGCAACAAAUCAUUAAGAGAUCUGCCUGAAAGGUCAAAUUUCCUAAGAGUCAGCUAAAAGAUCUCUGGGGGAAGGUUGCCAGCCCUUCGAAGAUCAGAUAUCGAUGGAAGUUCUCCCAGCAAUUUACUGAUGAUGUAUUCCCAAGCCUUUCAGGUGCCCAGGUCAUGCGAAUUGCUACACAUCUGAGGGCCACAAGGGAAAGCUACAAAGGACUUGACACAUCUAAGCGAGGUGGAUAACUAAUGCUUUGGAGUUAACUGGCUUUCUCCAGUGUCAGCUUAUCCCUACUUCAAGAACUGGUGAGUUGCUAAAACUUUCAUCCAUCAGGUGAGUUGCCAAUCAAAAUAAUUCUUUGAGGAUUUUAGUUUAUUAGUUCGUGAGAUUUGAUUGUUCUCAAAUUAUUAUUUUACUUAGGAGAAUCCUUGCAAAACUGUUUGUGCUACAAAGAUUAGAUGUUUGUUUUGAUUGUUGUGGUAUUUUUGAAUACAACAUAUGUUGGUUGGGGUAUAUGUUGAGGAAAUAGUUGGUACAUUUACUUACAUAUAGUUCUUUUGCAAUCUGGUUAAUAAUUUUCUUUCACUUUAAUGCAUAAAAGAUAAAUAGAUUGACAGUUAAUAAAUAGAUUGGAUCAAUUCAUGUAACACACAUAGAGAGAGCGGGAGACAGCCUAAAGCUAAAGCAGUUGAUGUUCACAUGAUUUCUUGUGUAUUUUUUAGGAGUUGAAAAAGUUUUUACUAGAUAUUGCUUUUCACCAGGGUUAUGGUCAAUUCAUCCCAUAACACACUAGUAGGACUACACUGGUUAUGAUGUUUAUGUUCAAUUUCUGUGUGCUGCCUUCUCUAGAGGAUCAAAGCUCCUUUUUUUUCUUCACGUUGAUCUUAUUUGCAGCUGUGGCAAUAGAAAAGGUCGUGCUAGAAAGGACCUUUAUGAAAUGGUCGUUGAAAUGAACAAUGUGUGUGAUGAUCUUUGUGGAGCUUACUAUGUCAAACUUCUGUCAGUCCAAAAGGGAGUCUUAAGAAUGAAUUGUGUAGACUAUUUGGAUCGCACAAAUGUUGGCCCAUAUGUGUAUGGGCGGGUUGCUCUGGCCCAUCAACUGCAUGUCUUAGGCUUUGUAUAUGUGGACAACAUCAACAUUGAUUCACAUUCUCCUAUCGCACAUGACCUAAUGCAGAUAUACAAAGAAAUGAGAGACGUUCUUGCACCACAUAUAUCGAUAAUGUGAAUUGAAGCGAUAUCCAAAUGUGGAGAUUAUUUGGUGCCAAAAAGAGAAUGAAAAUUGGUGCAUACUAGUACAUUGCACCACGUCUUUUUACUCCAACGAAAGCACUGGGCAGAGGUACCAUAGAUGACAUAAAAUAUGUUUUCUGUGGUUCUUCUGCUGCCAAUACUACUGGUUUUCACCUGGGUCAUGUGAAAGAAUAUACCGAACUUGACCAGAAAGACUUGCAACAGGAUCUAGUUAGUCCCCCACUCUGAAGGUGAGACUUUGUUGUAUUCUUUGCACAAAGUACCAAGACUGGUGCUGAAAUAAUAUUUUUAACUCCAUAAAGUAUUUUGAGGAGGUGGAAGUUUUGAUUUUUUGGGAUUUAGGGACAGAGAAGUUGUGCUCCCCCCCCACCCCCCUCUUUCUUAGACUGUACAAAUAAAAUGUCAGAAACAACUCUCUGUUCCUCCCAUUUUAAUUCUUCUGAGAGAAUGAAGUCCAUGAUUGGUUUUGCAGAGCUUGCUGUGUGUUUGCAAUCUUGUUUUACUCCUGUUUAUCGAAAACAGACUCUCUACCCCACAAAGGAGUAAGGUCUGUGUACAACUUGUUAUUGUGUCAUGCGAUUGUCUGAAUUAAUAUUAAACCUUCUAUUUUAUAUCCUAGGAUGUUGAAUUUAGGUAUUAUCUUCUAGGUCUUUUAGUGUUACCAUCAGUAAAUCCCAUAGAGAUCCGGGCUUCAGCUAUAUAUACAAGUAAACGGUCAAAAUGCUAGUUGAUUGAUAUUAUUAUGUGUGAGCUGUGUGGAUGUGGGGAUAUCAACUUCUACUUAUUUAAUGAUCUAUGUCCCUUGUCUACUUGGUUUCAUUGUGCUUUUCUUUUACUAAAUUUGUAGCGAUUUCACCACAAACAGCUCAACAUGGUACUGUAAGAUGCAAAAGUGUGCUUUAGUGCUAAUGGACUAAACUUAUUUGGUUACUUGUAACUCCCAACCUCAUUGCUGGUUUGGCAAUCCUUUGAUAUUUGGAGAUUAUCUUGACAUAAUGAAGCAGAAAGUUGACUCUAGAUUGCCUAAUUCACAAGACGCUCUAAGCCAUUAAAUGAAAGUACAUUUCAAAGGCAGCUCCUGUAGCAUUUCAGUUUCGAACAAUUGUGAUGCUUUUAUAUUUGAUUUUUUUUUAAAACAUUGCUAGUGCACAUCUUGAAAUAUUACUUUAUUAGUAUGUGUUGUACAAGAUAGUUUUUAAAAUUCAUUGAAAAUUUUGAAUUAUUGAUUUUGA